rnacentral:rRNA from 1 species
GGUCAAGCGACUAAGCGCACAUGGUGGAUGCCUAGGCGGUAGGAGGCGAUGAAGGACGUAGUAGUCUGCGAUAAGCCUCGGCGAGCUGACAAACUAGCUUUGACCCGGGGAUUUCCGAAUGGGGCAACCCAACCACUUCGGUGGUUAUCGCGUACUGAAUACAUAGGUACGUGAGGCGAACGCGGUGAACUGAAACAUCUAAGUAGCCGUAGGAAGAGAAAUCAACCGAGAUUCCCUCAGUAGCGGCGAGCGAACGGGGAACAGCCCUUAAGCUUUAAUGAUGCUAGUAAAACAGUCUGGAAAGUCUGGCCAUAGAAGGUGAUAGCCCUGUAUGCGAAAGCUGAAUUAGAGUGAAAUCGAGUAGGACGGAGCACGUGAAACUUUGUCUGAACAUGGGGGGACCAUCCUCCAAGGCUAAAUACUACCUACCGACCGAUAGUGAACUAGUACCGUGAGGGAAAGGUGAAAAGGACCCCGGAGAGGGGAGUGAAAUAGAACCUGAAACCGUGUGCGUACAAGCAGUGGGAGCCCCUUCGAGGGGUGACUGCGUACCUUUUGUAUAAUGGGUCAGCGAGUUACUUUUAGUGGCAAGCCUAACCGUAUAGGGGAGGCGUAGGGAAACCGAGUCUGAACAGGGCGUCGAGUCGCUAGGAGUAGACCCGAAACCAGGCGAUCUAUCCAUGGCCAGGGUGAAGGUAGGGUAAUACCUGCUGGAGGCCCGAACCGGGUAAUGUUGAAAAAUUAUCGGAUGAGCUGUGGAUAGGAGUGAAAGGCUAACCAAGCCUGGAGAUAGCUGGUUCUCCUCGAAAGCUAUUUAGGUAGCGCCUCGUGUAUCACUGCUGGGGGUAGAGCACUGUUUCGGCUAGGGGGUCAUCCCGACUUACCAACCCGAUGCAAACUCCGAAUACCAGCAAGUGCAAUCACGGGAGACACACGGCGGGUGCUAACGUCCGUCGUGGAGAGGGAAACAACCCAGACCGCCAGCUAAGGUCCCAAAAUCACAAUUAAGUGGGAAACGAUGUGGAAAGGCUCAGACACCCAGGAGGUUGGCUUAGAAGCAGCCACCCUUUAAAGAAAGCGUAACAGCUCACUGGUUUAGUCGGUCUGCGCGGAAGAUUUAACGGGGCUCAAAUUGUGUACCGAAGCUGCGGAUGUGUACGUUUCACUUUAAAUGUCUCAGGGACAGUGACCUUAAUUGCGUCACCAUCAACAAGUAUUCUUGAUGCGCAAUUAAGGUCACUGUCCCCUUUAGAGACAUUUAAAGGAAACGUACACGUGGUAGAGGAGCGUUCUGUACGCCUGUGAAGGCAAGUCGCGAGGCUUGCUGGAGGUAUCAGAAGUGCGAAUGCUGACAUGAGUAACGAUAAUGUGGGUGAAAAACCUACACGCCGAAAACCUAAGGGUUCCUGCGCAACGCUAAUCGGCGCAGGGUGAGUCGGCCCCUAAGGCGAGACCGAAAGGUGUAGUCGAUGGGAAACUGGUUAAGAUUCCAGUACUGCUUGUUACUGCGAUGGGGUGACGGAGAAGGCUAGAUCUACCGGGCGUUGGUUGUCCCGGGGAAAGUAUGUAGGCAGAGGGCUUAGGUAAAUCCGGGCUCUUAAUGUCGAGAUACGAGACGACCGGUCUUUGUACCGGAAAGUGGUCGGUGCCAUGCUUCCAGGAAAAGCCUCUAAGCUUCAGGUAACAAGUAACCGUACCGUAAACCGACACAGGUGGGUGAGGAGAGAAUCCUAAGGCGCUUGAGAGAACUCGGGUGAAGGAACUAGGCAAAUUGGUACCGUAACUUCGGGAGAAGGUACGCCCCUGUUGGUGAGGAGACUUGCUUUCUAAGCUGGUGGGGGUUGCAGUGACCAGGUGGCUGCGACUGUUUACUAAAAACACAGCACUCUGCAAACACGUAAGUGGAAGUAUAGGGUGUGACGCCUGCCCGGUGCCGGAAGGUUAAUUGAUUGGGUUAGUCCUCGGACGAAGCUCAUGAUCGAAGCCCCGGUAAACGGCGGCCGUAACUAUAACGGUCCUAAGGUAGCGAAAUUCCUUGUCGGGUAAGUUCCGACCUGCACGAAUGGCGUAACGAUGGCCACACUGUCUCCACCCGGGACUCAGUGAAAUUGAAAUCGCUGUGAAGAUGCAGUGUACGCGCGGCUAGACGGAAAGACCCCGUGCACCUUUACUACAGCUUUGCACUGGACUUUGAAUAUGUUUGUGUAGGAUAGCUGGGAGGCUUUGAAGCGUGAUCGCCAGAUUGCGUGGAGCCAAUCUUGAAAUACCAGCCUGAUAUGUUUGAGGUUCUAACCUGGGUCCCUUAGCGGGAUCGGGGACAGUGCAUGGUGGGUAGUUUGACUGGGGCGGUCUCCUCCUAAAGAGUAACGGAGGAGUACAAAGGUACUCUCAGUGCGGUCGGACAUCGCACGUUGCGUAUAAAGGCAUAAGAGUGCUUGACUGCGAGACAGACACGUCGAGCAGGGUCGAAAGACGGUCUUAGUGAUCCGGUGGUUCUGUAUGGAAGGGCCAUCGCUAAUCGGAUAAAAGGUACGCCGGGGAUAACAGGCUAAUUCCUCCCAAGAGUUCACAUCGACGGAGGAGUUUGGCACCUCGAUGUCGGCUCAUCACAUCCUGGGGCUGUAGCAGGUCCCAAGGGUAUGGCUGUUCGCCAUUUAAAGUGGUACGCGAGCUGGGUUUAGAACGUCGUGAGACAGUUCGGUCCCUAUCUGCCGUGUUCGUUGGAAACUUGAAGGGAGCUGCCCCUAGUACGAGAGGACCGGAGUG